rnacentral:rRNA from 1 species
AACGAACGCUGGCGGCGUGCCUAACACAUGCAAGUCGAGCGAGAAAGCCCGCAAGGGUGAGUAAAGCGGCGCACGGGUGCGUAACACGUGGGUAAUCUGCCCUGGAGUCCGGAAUAACUCGCCGACAGGCGUGCUAAUGCCGGAUGAGACCACGGGAGCCUCGGCCCCUGCGGGAAAAGGUGGCCUCUGUAUACAAGCUAUCGCUCUAGGAUGAGCCCGCGGCCCAUCAGCUCGUUGGCGGGGUAAUGGCCCCCCCAGGCUACGACGGGUAGCUGGUCUGAGAGGACGAUCAGCCACACUGGAACUGAGACACGGUCCAGACUCCUACGGGAGGCAGCAGUGGGGAAUCUUGCGCAAUGGGCGAAAGCCUGACGCAGCAACGCCGCGUGUGUGAUGAAGGUCUUCGGAUCGUAAAGCACUGUCGCGAGGGACGAAUAAGGGGCGGGCUAACACUCCGUUCCGAUGACGGUACCUCGAGAGGAAGCACCGGCCAACUCUGUGCCAGCCGCCGCUGUAACAC